AGGAAUUCUACAGGGUCGUCCUGAGACCACAUGAAACAGAUUCAAAAUACAAGCAUAUUUGCUUGUGACCUUUUGUGACUCAGUUCAUGUGUUCUCAGGUCGCCCCUGCUGAACUUUU
rfam:Glycine soja cultivar W05 scaffold2837_54, whole genome shotgun sequence.